rnacentral:rRNA from 1 species
CAGUAACACAUGAUCAACUUGCCCUAUAGAGAAAAAUAACCUCGGGAAACUGAGGAUAAUGAUUCAUAGCUGAAUUGGCUUGGAAAAGUUUUUCAGUUAAAGGGAUAAAAAAAAUGGUUUUUAUCUGCUAUAGGAUAGGAUCGUGGUCGAUUAUGGUUGUUGGUGAGGUAAUGGCUCACCAAGCCGAUAAUCGAUAGGGGCCGUGAGAGCGGGAGCCCCGAGAUGGGUACUGAGACAACGACCCAGGCCUUACGAGGCGCAGCAGGCGCGAAACCUCCGCAAUACACGAAAGUGUGACGGGGUUACCCAAAGUGUUCAAUUUUGAACUGUGGUAGGUGAGUAAUGUUCCCUACUAGAAAGGAGAGGGCAAGGCUGGUGCCAGCCGCCGCGGUAAAACCAGCUCUUCAAGUGGUCGGGAUAAUUAUUGGGCUUAAAGUGUCCGUAGCCGGUUUAGUAAGUUCCUGGUAAAAUCGGGUAGCUUAACUAUCUAUAUGCUAGGAAUACUACUAUACUAGAGGGCGGGAGAGGUCUGAGGUACUACAGGGGUAGG